GUGGGCGGCAGAGUAAGUAGGUAGUGAAAUGACGGGGCUCAACCCCGUGUCCAUUAUCUAAACUGCUCAGCUAGAGAAUGAGAGAGGUGGCUGGAAUUUCUAGUGUAGGAGUGAAAUCCGUAGAUAUUAGAAGGAACACCGAUGGCGUAGGCAGGCCACUGGCUCAUUUCUGACGCUCAGGCACGAAAGCGUGGGGAGCGACCGGGAUUAGAUACCCCGUUAGUCCACGCCGUAAACUAUGGAUGCUAGCUGUGUGUCGUAUCGACCCGAUACGUAGCGAAGCUAACGCGUCAAGCAUCCCGCCUGUGGAGUACGGUCGCAAGACUAAAACAUAAAGGAAUUGACGGGGACCCGCACAAGCGGUGGAGCGUGUUGUUUAAUUCGAUGGUAAGCGAAGAACCUUACCCAGGUUUGACAUCCUUCUAAUCUUUCCGAAAGGAGAGAGUGCCUUCGGGCCGAAGUGACAGGUGCUGCAUGGCCGUCGUCAGCUCGUGUCGUGAGAUGUUUGGCUAAGUCCAUCAACGAGCGCAACCCCUGUGAUUAGUUGAAUUUUUCUAGUCAGACUGCCUCGGUAACGGGGAGGAAGGGUGGGAUGAUGUCAGGUCAGUAUUGCCCUUACACCUGGGGCUACAAACACGCUACAAUGGCCGGUACAAAGGGCUGCCAAGUCGCGAGACGGAGCAAAUCCCAUCAAAGCCGGUCUCAGUUCGGAUAGCAGGCUGAAACUCGCCUGCUUGAAGCUGGAAUCGCUAGUAACGGUAGGUCAGCACACUACCGUGAAUACGUUCCCGGGUCUUGUACACACCGCCCGUCAAACCAUGAAAGUCACCAAUACCUGACGUCCUAGCUUGUCUAGGCCUAAGGUAGGGGGGAUGAUUGGGGUU
rnacentral:rRNA from 1 species